CAUCAUCCAUACGUCCUUCAAGAGGACGUAUAUGGAUGCUGUUUCUUUGUCAAUACUUGAUACAAUAUUUGUAUAUAAACAAUAAUUGGUGUUCAAAACAAACAAUAAAUUAGUUUAUGUAAAACAAGUUGCUAAUAAAGUAGUAGCAAUUCUAAGAUGAGAAAAGAAAAAACGUUUCUUAGCAACGAAUAAGUAAACUUAGUGAAAUAGUAAGAAUAUUGUAUGAUUGUUGGCUAAGCUUCUUCUUUUAGCAUAUAGGCUUAUUACAUAUUUUAAUAAAAAAUAUGGCUGAUAACGUGAAACCUGAUGUUAUUAAAAAAACUCAACAAAUGCUGCUUCCGUAUUUCACUAAACCACCAUUAACAGAAAAAUUAUUAAGAAAGCCUCCUUUUCGUUAUAUACAUGAUAUCAUCACUACUAUUAUAAAAGAAACAGGAUUUUUAAAUGGUUUAUUUACUGCUGAGGAACUAAAAUCGGACUCUUUAAAGGACAGAUCAUCAAAAAUUAAAUUCUUGAAUAAAUUAAUAUAUGUUGUGGAAUCAACAACCGGAGAACAUUUGUCUGUUAAAGCAAAUAAAAUCAUCGCAGGUCUAGAGCCUGUAAAGACGAAUCAGUUGUUACAAUUAAUAGGAAAAGCACUGAAGAAUAAAAAUUUACGCGGUCGAAGUAAAUUAUCUUUAACAAAUAAUACGAAUAUCGAAUCAAAAAGUAACUUGCCGAUAUCAGACUCAGAUAAAACCCUAUCUUAUCAACCAGAUUCAAAUUUAUCAACCAUUCUAAGUAUUACAAAUGAUCCAAACACAGAUCCGUACAUUAAAAAUGAAGACGCACAUCGAAAUAUUCUAGGGAAUAAUCUUGUAAUGUCUGAAUAUGGAUUUAAAAAAGAUGAUAACUUCACGAUCUCGGAUAUUAUAAAUAAAGAAGUUAAUAACAAAAUUAACGCAAAAGGAGUGGGCUUAAAUCAACCUGAAAUAACAUCAACGAAAGUCAUCAAUGAUCGACCAUUUAGUGCACGUCCAGCAGCGCCAAAACACUACACGAAAUAUAAUGAAAUAUCAGAUACUAAUUGCAUAGAUGCCGUCAAAGAAAUACAAAUUUUUAACGAAAAUCUUGAAGACAUUGUAGAUCAUUUUGCAACAAAUGGAACGAUAACAAAAAAUAACUUGCAGCAUUUAAACGAUUCAAUGUUUCGUGGAAAUGAAAAAAAAAGCUUUUUAUUUUCUCAGAUAAACAAAACACACAAGGAAUUAAUGAAUUCUGAAAAUACAGAAACAGUGCCCCUAUCAUCAAUACCAAUAACCGAAGAAAAUAUUGCUGCCAAGACUGAAACUUCCAGAAAGGAAAUUGGCAAUCUUUGUAUCUGUAUUCAAGAAUUGAUUCGUUCUUCUAAUCCAUUAGGAAAAUUAAUAGACUUUCUACAAGAAAACAUAGAUAUGAUGUAUAACGAGUUUCAGUUAUGGGUAUACCUGAAUAAAUCUCUAAAAAGGCAUUUUGACAGCAAACAAAUCAUGGAACGUAUACUUCUGGUCCUGAACAGUCAAUUCUCACUUUUGCUGCGAAAAUCGAAUUUCAGCACCAGAGCACCUGCGUAAUGAGAACGCUCUGAUUCGACUCUGGCUGGGAAAAUGCGAAUGAUUUUUUUUUAUCUUCGGCGACCAGAUUGAGGCUGAACGAAAAUGAAGAAAGCAACGAUUGAUUUCGAAUUUGGGAAAACCGAAGCUCGCAAUAUGGCCGCCCCCUUAACUACCCACGCACGUUGGACCGGCACAAAGGCUCUGAUAACGCGACGCCAAGCUCCCAAGCGACGCUUUCGACUAUGCUGCGCGCAGUUUGAAAUUUGACACUUGCCUUUGUUACGAGUACCUCGCGUGAUUUUACUUCUAAAGAAUUUUCUUUUUUAAUCACUUCGCGUUCAAUUAUUUCACUUCACAAUUAAUUUAAUUUUUAAACUUUCUUUUGGGACGCGGACACUGAUUUUAACCGUUUAUCUCAUUCUUGUUAAUGGACCAAAUUCACUUGCAUAAUAUUUAGUUCUUAUCCGAAAUUGAUUCUAAUUCAAUAUAUUAAUUUUUAGAUAUUCAUGCAAAAAUCAUGAGUUGGACAAGAGAGAAUAAAACUUAGAUCGUGUCGGCACAAGCAAUCUCGGUGGGACCUCCAAUUUUGUUAUGGGAGAAUUUGGCUAAUUCUCCCUCAAAAAUAUAUUAUUUGUUUUUUUAAUGAGUCUGAUGUACACGAAUAGCUAUACAGUUGUCAAGCAAAUGCGUAGGGAAUGAAUGAUUCGCACGACUUGCUUCCACGAUCAACACUCUUACUCUCUCCUUUCUAUCUCAUUAAUUAUGUGAUCCCAAUUAAAAUUUAUCUCAAUUUCUUACCUUGAUCUUUUUGAUAUGUGAGAGACACAAAUGGUCCGAUCUUUCCCAAGUAAUAUUUAGUAAUUUUGAAGGAUGGAUUGAACAAAUUACUCCAGUUUAUUGAAAGCAAAAUUCCGUUGUAUUUAUUCCUUUUUUUUUAUUUUCGACCAAUAACAAUCCUGUAUUCGCUAAAUUGAACCAAUGAAAUCCUCACUAAUCCGAAAAUAAAUGACUUUUCUCUUAAUUGAUUCUAAAAGAUGAAUCUCUUUCUUUGUCUAAUUGACUCUACAAAAAUCUAAACUCUUGGAUGAACUCUUAUUGAAAGCAAAAUUCCGUUGUAUUUAUUCCUUUUUUUUUUAUUUUCGACCAAUAACAAUCCUGUAUUCGCUAAAUUG